rnacentral:rRNA from 1 species
AGCAGCCGCGGUAAUUCCAGCUCCAAUAGCGUAUAUUAAAGUUGUUGCAGUUAAAAAGCCCGUAGUUGAAUUUCGGGAUCAAUUUAUUGGUCGUGCUAUUGUACGUACUGGUAUUAUUGAUUCCUACCUUCUGACGAACCAUGAUGUCAUUAAUUUGGUGUCAUGGGGAAUCAGGACUGUUACUUUGAAAAAAUUAGAGUGUUUAAAGCAGGCUCACGCUUGAAUACAUUAGCAUGGAAUAACGAAAUAGGACGUUUGAUUCUAUUUUGUUGGUUUCUAGGAUCGACGUAAUGAUUAAUAGGGAUAGUUGGGGGCAUUAGUAUUCAAUUGUCAGAGGUGAAAUUCUUGGAUUUAUUGAAGACUAACUACUGCGAAAGCAUUUGCCAAGGGUGUUUUCAUUAAUCAAGAACGAAAGUUAGGGGAUCGAAGACGAUCAGAUACCGUCGUAGUCUUAACCAUAAACUAUGCCGACUAGGGAUCGGAUGAUGUUAAUUUUUUAAUGACUCAUUCGGCGCCUUAC